GUGCUUGCUUUGGCAGCAUAUGUACUAAAAUUGGAACAACACAGAGACGAUUAGCAUGGCCCCUGUGAAAGGAUGAUACACAAAUUCAUGAAGCAUUCCAUAUUGUU